AGAGUUUGAUCCUGGCUCAGGAUGAACGCUGACAGAAUGCUUAACACAUGCAAGUCGACUGGAAAGCAUCUUCGGAUGUGAUUACAGUGGCGGACGGGUGAGUAACGCGUAAAGAACUUGCCCUAUAGCCUGGGAUAACAACUCGAAAGGGGUGUUAAUACCGGAUAUUAUGCACUAGUGGCAUCACUAGAGUAUGAAAGUGUAAACGCUAUAGGAGAGCUUUGCGUCCUAUUAGCUAGUUGGUGAGGUAAGAGCUCACCAAGGCGACGAUAGGUAGCCGGCCUGAGAGGGUGAACGGCCACAAGGGGACUGAGACACGGCCCUUACUCCUACGGGAGGCAGCAGUGGGGAAUAUUGGACAAUGGGCUAAGGCCUGAUCCAGCAAUUCUGUGUGGAUGAAGAAGGUUUUCGGAUCGUAAAAUCCUUUCGGUUGGGAAGAAGCAAGUGACGGUACCAACUAAAGAAGCAACGGCUAAUUACGUGCCAGCAGCCGCGGUAAGACGUAAGUUGCAAGCGUUAUCCGGAAUUACUGGGCAUAAAGGGCAUCUAGGCGGUUAUAUAAGUCAGAAUUGAAGAUUCAGGGCUCAACCCUGUCCUUGGUUUUGAAACUGUAUAACUAGAGUGCAGGAGAGGAGGGCGGAACUACAAGUGUAGAGGUGAAAUUCGUAGAUAUUUGUAGGA
rnacentral:rRNA from 1 species